CAUAAAAUUAGUUUUAGGCUUAUCUAACACAAGCUUGCGCAUGUUACUCCGCAUUUCGUAAUUGUUAUUUUGGUGAUGAGAGAACAAUUGUCAUGUUAGAGACGUACUCCGGCGCAAUACAACGGAUAGCCUUGAAUGUCAUUAAAAUUUCCCUUUUCCUAAAAAUAGACUCAAUUGGAGCCCAUCCUAGAAUCCGAAAGAUUGUUUUUGACCUUAUUUCGUAGUUUGAACUAGUUAUGACACGAGCGGCCCUUUUUUGCAUCUUGUACAGUUUUUCAAGAUUCGUUCGAUUUCCGUCAUUCCAGACGAUCGAACAAUAUGUAAAGUAAGGGACUACUAAAGAGUUGUACAUACGAACUAAUUCAUUUUGUGAUACAAAAGGUUUAGCUCUUCUUAGAAGAGCCACUGCACUCGAAAGUUUCUUGCAUUGAGCAUUAAUAUGUUCCUUCCAUUUUAAUUCUUUGUCAAUUAUAAUCCCCAAG